CGUGGCCGAGUGGUCUAAGGCGCUGCAUUUAGGCUGCAGUCUUCGUUGGCGGGGGUUCGAAUCCCCCCG
rnacentral:tRNA from 1 species